GCGAAGCCAACCCGGACAUCUUCUUCACCGAUAGGGCCGGCAAGCGCCACAAGAACUGCCUCUCGCUGGCGGUCGAUGAGCUUCCCGUGCUGGAGGGUAAGACCCCGGUGGAGGUCUACGCGGGCGUCCUUCAGAGCUUCAGAGCCACCUUCUCAGAUUUCCUCGGUUCCACCAUCAAGGUAACUUGAACUUCAGCACUUUUUUCUCCCUCUCCGUUUCCUCGCCCAUCUGGUGAAAACGCCAUCUAAGAUUUGAGGAUUUUCCAUCCACCUGCAGGACGUUCUUGUUGGCCUCGGUCCAGAUGGUGAGCUGAAGUACCCGUCGCAGCAGCCGGCGCCGAGGAACAAGCAAGUCGCCGGAGUGGGGGAGUUCCAGUGCUACGACAGAAACAUGCUGAAUCGUCUCAAGGAGCACGCAGAGGCCACCGGGAACCAUUUCUGGGGUCUCUCCGGCCCCCACGACGCCCCCCAGUACAACGCGUCUCCCGAGUCCACCAAUUUCUUCAAGGAGCACGGAGGCUCGUGGGACACCCCCUACGGGAACUUCUUCCUCUCCUGGUAUUCCAGCCAGCUCGUCGCCCACGGCGACCGCCUCCUCUCCGCCGCCUCCACAGCCUUCGGGGAUCUCCCCGUGACCGUCUACGGCAAGGUCCCGGUGAUGCACGCCUGGUACAAGCACCGGUCCCACCCCUCCGAGCUCACCGCCGGCUACCACAACACGGCCAACUCCGACGGCUACGAGGCCAUCGCGGAGAUGUUCGCGAGGCACUCAUGCGGCAUGAUCCUCCCCGCCAUGGACCUCUCCGACGAGCACCAGCCGCCGGCCUCGCGGUCCAGCCCGGAGGCGCUUGUGGCGCAGAUCAUGAGG
rnacentral:lncRNA from 1 species